UAUCCCUCUUGUCUCAUUCUUCUACGUGUAGUCACAUUUCCAUUGUUUUGUGACAGGGUGCUGUCACUUCACAUUUUUCAGUGGAAGUCCAAUAAAUCCUGUAGUAUUUACUGGAAGUACCUGCUUCAUUUUCUCACUUUGAUGCCUGGCUUCUGAGUUUCUUUUUCCAUUUGAAAAGUUGUGGUUAUUUUUGAGCUCAUAAUUAACAAAUCUACUCCCCUCCAGAACUGCCAUAGUCCAGGUAUGUUUCUGCCUUUGGAUAUCUCUCCAUAAGUGCUUUGUUCCCCUAGGAAGUACUGUUCAUCCAUUGUUCUUUUAUGUUUUUCAAAAAUACUGCUGACCUCAAAAUCCCUUUCUAAAGUAGUAAUAAAAUAAUAGUAAGUAUUCAAAGCUGCCAAAAAAUAACAUACCAUUCAAUAUUAGUGACACUCUGUUUCAGAUUUUCAGAUUAUGAGAAUUUUUUUCAUGCUGUCAAUAAACUACUAAUUGCUUGUUGGAUGUUGUGUGUACAUAACAUACAGUUUUUAUGUAUAUGUUUACUACAAAGGUCCAGACUUCUAAGUAAGUAAUCCUUUUUCCUCUAAGCUUAGCUCUUUUUUCUAUAUUAGACUUUCAGACUUAGGUAGGUGCAUGAAUUAAAAUAAUUCAAUCAAAAAAUUCAAUCUCCAAGAACUUUUAACAUUUCUGAAUGACUGAAGAAGCAGAUUUACGGUGGAAUUUAGAAUUUAGUUUCAUAGGUACUGUGAUGUCUUGAUAGUUACAGGAUGAGGCCCAACCAACACUUCCAGCUUUUCCUGUAAGAGUGGUAAGAGCAACAAUGGAAUAAUCUGAACAAAAUGGGAAUCAGUAAGGAUUAGUAAAGAGAAUGUGUCCACAUUUAUAACACCUUCAUAUCUGUUGGGUGGAAAUAUAUAUCUGCUGUAAAACAGCUUUUUAAGAAUAGCUAGACUGAGUUUAUAGACUCGGCAUGUGAUUUACUCAGCUUUCUAACUGUUAUAUCUUUUGAAAAGUACUAAUGGGAGAUUUACUUGAUGCGUUUUACACAAACUUUUUAAUUAAAAAAGGCAAACCCCUACCAGUGGCACUGUGUUCUCAUAUACUUAUGAGGAAAAAUAUAAAAGCAGAAAGGAGAUACUUUCCCAAGAGGUUAUGAAACAUGGCUUAACCAGUUUUUCUGAAAUAACCUUUUUUUUUUUUUUUUUGCAUACUCUUGCUCUGGGAGCAAAUCUCUCCUACCCUUAAUCAAUGGAAGGUGAGUAUCUUAUGACUGCCACAUCUCUUGUAGUUAACCUCCUGCAUAAUGAUGUCCAUGAGAAACGUUUUCUCUCAUUUCCACUGAGAGCUCUACAUCUCUUCUCAGGGUGAGGAAAAAAUAAGAUGACAGGUAUAAAUCCAGUAGGAUAUUCAAGUUCUGUAUUGACAAACUACAUCAAAGUGAGUCUACAUGCCAAAAAUAUGAGGAAAGCUGUUCUAGGAGAACAUGAGAUGCUGAGAAUACAUGGAGGAAGUACCACCCAAAGCUGAUCUUGUGCUCAUCUGCAAGCAUCAGUUACUGCAGCUGUUAGCAAGAGGGCUGCACGAGAUGGGCUUCAGUGAGGCAAUACUGCUGGUCCUGUGUCUGCUCAAGUGCAAGAUGGAUUUCUCAUUUCUGCAAGUAGGACCGGUGCCCUGAAGGCAUUUCUACAUGAACUGUCACCUGUAAGGGGGCUGUUACUUACCUGAUCCUCCGUGAAGAACAAUGCCAUGAAAUUUUUCUGAGACCUGCAUCUCUCUAUCAGAUCAGUGGGAUGAGAGAACAAGAGACACCUGCAGAGAGUGAUUCAUUCUGUGCCCAUCCAACACCUCUCUCAGGAUGGAACAAAUCUCCUCACUGGGGACUGUUGUUCUCCAUCAGUUCUCGGCAGAAGAUAGACAAUCAAUUUCAACCUGAAGCCUGCCUUAGAGAUGACAAGUGAGGUGGAUUCCACUGUGCAUGACUAAUUUUUCUGAUUCAUCAUACCUGAAUUUAGCCUUUAAAAUUUGGGUAUGUAAUCAAAGUUAGUUGUUUGAGUUCUGUCUCUGUACCAUGCUCAUUCCUUUAGUGGGAGGCUGGACAUGGGUGGCUGUGGUGAAAUGUCUUGGGAUGAAGUAUAUAUUUUGCUG